CCUAGCUAUUGUAAAGAGUGCUGCCGUGAACACUGGGAUACAGGUUACAAAACAUUGAGAUGGGAUUGAAGAAAGAGGACACUCCCAGAGGCGCUGGACUUGGACCUCUUGCAGCACUUGGACCUGAGAACGAGGAGUGUAUCCUGUGUUGGGUGUGACAUGAUGGUGGCGUCACUGUGAUGGGUGGGAACAUCCUGAUGGGUGGGAAAAUAUUAAAUAGAAGUGAAAAGAUGUA